rnacentral:rRNA from 1 species
UUAACCGGAUUAGAUACCCUGGUAGUCCACGCCGUAAACGAUGUCGACUUGGAGGUUGUGCCCUUGAGGCGUGGCUUCCGGAGCUAACGCGUUAAGUCGACCGCCUGGGGAGUACGGCCGCAAGGUUAAAACUCAAAUGAAUUGACGGGGGCCCGCACAAGCGGUGGAGCAUGUGGUUUAAUUCGAUGCAACGCGAAGAACCUUACCUGGUCUUGACAUCCACAGAACUUUCCAGAGAUGGAUUGGUGCCUUCGGGAACUGUGAGACAGGUGCUGCAUGGCUGUCGUCAGCUCGUGUUGUGAAAUGUUGGGUUAAGUCCCGCAACGAGCGCAACCCUUAUCCUUUGUUGCCAGCGGUCCGGCCGGGAACUCAAAGGAGACUGCCAGUGAUAAACUGGAGGAAGGUGGGGAUGA